CGCUCCACGGGAUUCGAACCUGCAUCUCUAGCUUACCAUGUAAGUGUGCUACCAAUUACACUACGAAGC